GUGUACUCUGUUUACAUUACAGUUGUUUAUUAGUUUACUCGUUUGUUUUGCGACUGAUGAAAUGCCGGCAUAUAUAUAUUUUCAACAUUUGACAUAACCCUGUAUGUUUUGCAGGGACAACCCAGGACGUGCAUUUCUCAGCACCCAGUCAACUGCCAAAAGUGACUCAAACACAGGCCACCAGUGGAACUCGGCUGUACCACUGCAGUGCUGCGGAAAUUGCCUUCACCAGCGGCUUUGCAACAGCUGUUUCGCAGCAUGUCGGAGACAAUGCCUACGAAAUUAUUGGCCCUGAUCAUGAGAGCCCUCAAGGGGCAAACAACAUCUCUGUUGCAGAAGUGAGCCCGAUACCACUUGGAAGUUACCAUGACAGAUGACACGGCAGCAAUAGAUACAGAGACUGCCAUGUCUACUGCAGCUGCAACAGUGUACGAGGCAAGCAGCAGCGCGUCAGCAUCAGCAGCAGUGUCAGAAGGAACCACACCAGGCCUGGUAGAGCAACAUGUGUGCUAUCACUGACUUUUUUUGUAGUGGAUACAACUCAUUUGCUCAACAUACAAAAGCUUUUCACCACGACUGUGAGCCAGUGUUAUUGUGCAGCAAGUGCAAGACUAAGUUAGGUGUUAUAACACAGUACAAGUAUCACUUUAAUAUAUGCAAAUGCAAACAUAUUACAGUUGUUGCCUCCCCAGCCAGCCCACAUAGUGACAACAAUGUGGAACACAUGGUGGGACACACCUCUCCCCCAUUACAAGAUAGUAGAGACUGUCAGUGUUGUUGCUAGAUUGACUGGUCUUUGUAGGCAACUAGAAGGACAACACAGGUGUCAUAAGAUUGUUGUUGAUGUUGUUGUUGAAGAGGUAAAAAAGAAGUUUGAUGCAGCUGAAGUGCCAACUGAUAUUGAGAAAAUCAAAAGCAACCACCUGAGAAAGCAACACUAUCGAAAUUUGGGUAUCUAUGUGCCGCCAACUCUGGUAAGAAUGGCAUAGGACAGAAGUGUGAUGAAAAUCACACAGACACUGCUGUUGCAUCACUGGCCACAGUGAGCAGCGACUUGUAGGGCAAGAGAGUCAACUGAAACUAUCAUUAUGAUAUAGUGUCAUGUUCCCAUGUGACCACUUUUCAAGUUAUUUUACAAGAUACAGCUCAACCUCCAGAAACGAGACUGCAACUUGUCUGUAAAAAAGCUUUCACAAAAAAUUAUUCAUAACACUAUUAACAUAGCAGUAUCUUUUUUUUUGUGUCGGUUCGAGGUUCCCGGCUGUCCAUUAAUGCAAAAAUUGAGGAAAGAAGAACAUGUGUCGUACUUACACCUUUUUAACAAGUACGAGGGGGACAGAACUUUUCUAGUCAUGCAUCUUCAUCAUACUAUCAAGUUUUUAAAUGCCUUUUAUAAUUAUUAUUACCAGUUAUAUCUGAGUGCAUUGUAUGCAUGUAGCAGGUGUAAAAUCAGGUCAGUUGGAUCAGAUGCCUUAUCUGCAAGCGAGCCCUAUAUUCAAGAAAUUUGAAUUAAAAUAGUUACGUUAGAGACGCAGCCUUUCAGCACUUUAUUGCCUGUGGUUUAAGCAUUGCUCAAUACUUUUGUGGGUGGCAAUUUCAACCGGCACAGCACUGCGCUUUGCCACAGUCACAUUUGUCUUCAAAGUGGUGUUUACCAUUUGUGUUGAUCUGUUUGUGUAUGCAUAGAGCAAGUUUUUAAUUUAUAUUUUUCUGCAUUCUUGUGCUUGCACUAAGCUUGUAUAAGGCAGUUACAAAAUGUGCCUCGCUAUACCGAACU
rnacentral:lncRNA from 1 species